rnacentral:rRNA from 1 species
UACGGGGGGGGCAAGCGUUGUUCGGAAUUACUGGGCGUAAAGGGCUCGUAGGCGGCCAACUAAGUCAGACGUGAAAUCCCUCGGCUUAACCGGGGAACUGCGCCUGAUACUGGAUGGCUUGAGUUCGGGAGAGGGAUGCGGAAUUCCAGGUGUAGCGGUGAAAUGCGUAGAUAUCUGGAGGAACACCGGUGGCGAAGGCGGCAUCCUGGACCGAUACUGACGCUGAGGAGCGAAAGCCAGGGGAGCAAACGGG